GUCUUCAGCCAUGCCACCCUGAACAAGCCUGAUUCCAUCUAAUCUUGGAAGCUAAGCAGGGUCAGGCCUGGUUAGUACUUGGAUGGGAGACCACCUAGGAAGAGCAGGUGCUGUAGCAG
rnacentral:rRNA from 1 species